AAUAAAUGCUAGUGACAGGCGUAAGACAUGCAAGUUGAGCGUAAAAAGCGGCGAACGGGUGAGUAAUGCGUAAGAAUCUGCCCAAAAGUUCAGUAGAUCGAUUUUUAUCUAAUUCUGAAAACAAAAGAUGUUUCGCUUUUGGAGGAGCUUACGUAAGAUUAGGUAGUUGGUAAGGUAAAGGCUCUACC
rnacentral:rRNA from 1 species